CAGCUUGGUUUCUUAGCUUCUUUAUUGUCUUCAGCUUUCCGAGUCUUUUUUUGUCUCUAAAUGAAACAAAUACAAAUUAUGAAAGUAAAAAAGAAAAUAUUGCAAAUUUAGGAUAUAUAUUUUUGUACUUUCUAAAUAUAAUUUUGUCAAUUGGGUAAUGGUUAGUUUUGGUUGUUAUGAAAUUCUCUCAAAAAUUCAUUUAAUUUCUUGUGUAACUAAUUCAGAUUUGCAGCUUUUAUGGUUUCUAUAGAAGACCCUUCUUUAACAACAUUCUUGUCAUAGCAUUUCUGCUACAAUUUGUGCUUUCAAGUAUUUCACUGCUGUUUUACAGGCAUGGCAAGAAUAGGAGAACGGGCUGGUCUCUCUGUUUUCGAGGUUGUAUCUCUAUAAGAUUUUGAGAAAGUAGUAUUACUUUUUGAGAGAAAUUACAAUGCCAGUCCCUCUUGCUCCAUAUCCAACACCUCCAACACCUUAUACACAACCUGCUUCGGCCAAUGGUGCACAGAGCCAGCUUGUGUGUUCCGGAUGUCGAAAUCUUUUACUCUACCCAGCUGGGGCAACCUCUGUAUGCUGUGCUGUAUGCAAUGCGGUCACAGCUGUGCCACCCCCUGGUACGGAAAUGGCGCAGUUGGUUUGCGGUGGCUGCCACACCUUACUCAUGUAUAUCCGUGGAGCAACAAGUGUACAAUGUUCUUGUUGUCACACCAUUAAUCUAGCCAUGGAAGGAUGCUAUUGAUGUACCAAUAUGGAGCACGAUCUGUGAAAUGUUCUGUCUGCAAUUUCGUGACAGCAGUUGGGGCCUCGACAAGCACUACCGAACAAAAGUUCAACAGCUGAAGUUAUUAGCAGCCUCAAAUAAGAUGGUGAUUACAGAGCCACCAACUUCAGUUCCGGAAGCUCCAGUGACUGCACUGCAUCUCUUGGUGAAGCAGAGGAAUUUACCUUCGGCUCAUGCAUAGAGAAUCAUUCUCCCCCUCCCUCCUCUAGAGCGACCUCUAUAAUCAUGAAUAAGCAGUUUUGGCAAAUUAAAUGUAUGUUAAGAAUUUUCUUAUGGCAAAACUUUUGUGUGCAUUUGGAAAUUUUUAGGAUAAGAAUACUUCCAAUAUGUUUUUACUAACAAGUAUUAAGUACAAGGAAAAGAGUUAUUGCA